UUCUAUUGUUACCGUAGCCUCGCAUCCGUCUUUUGCAAAUCAACCUUGCCACGUCACAUCACUGGAUAAAGGACUGUCGCAGGAUGCAUUCUUAAUCACAAUUUGUGGCUAACCACAGCUUAUUUACCAUUUUUGGAUUGGUGAUAGAAUAAAAGUCAGCACCUGAU